CCUACGGGUGGCUGCAGUGGGGGAUAUUGCACAAUGGGGGAAACCCUGAUGCAGCGACGCCGCGUGAGUGAAGAAGUAUCUCGGGAUGUAAAGCUCUAUUAGCAGGGGAGAAAAUGACAGUACAUGACCAAGAAGCGCCGGCUAACUACGUGCCAGCAGCCGCGGUAACACGGAGGGGGCCAGCGUUAUCCGGAUUUACUGGGGUUAAAGGGAGCGUAGACGGUUAUGUAAGCCUGGAGUGAAAGCCCGGGGCCCAACCCCGGGACUGCGUUGGAAACUGGGUAACUGGAGUACAGGAGGGGCAGGCGGAAGUCCUGGUGUAGCGGUGAAAUGCGUAGAUAUCAGGAGGAACACCGGCGGCGAAGGCGGCCUGCUGGACUGAAACUGACGCUGAGGCUCGAAAGCGUGGGGAGCAAACAGGAUUAGAUACCCCAGUAGUC
rnacentral:rRNA from 1 species